AGAGUUUGAUCAUGGCUCAGAAUGAACGUUGGCGGCGUGGAUUAGGCAUGCAAGUCGAGCGCGAUAUGUAGCAAUACAUGGAGAGGCGGCGAAAGGGAGAGUAAUACGUAGGUAUCUACCCUCGGGUCUGGGAUAGCAGCGGGAAACUGCUGGUAAUACCAGAUAACGUCUCCGGACCAAAGGUGUGAUUCCACCUGAGGAGGAGCCUACGGCCUAUUAGCUAGUUGGUAGGGUAACGGCCUACCAAGGCAAAGAUGGGUAUGGGGUGUGAGAGCAUGCCCCCACUCACUGGGACUGAGACACUGCCCAGACACCUACGGGUGGCUGCAGUCGAGAAUCUUCGGCAAUGGGCGAAAGCCUGACCGAGCGACGCCGCGUGCGGGAUGAAGGCCUUCGGGUUGUAAACCGCUGUCGUAGUGGAGGAAAUGUAGGAGAGUUAUCUCUUCUACUUGACUAAUACUAGGAGGGAAGGACCGGCUAAUCUCGUG
rnacentral:rRNA from 1 species